rnacentral:rRNA from 1 species
GAUGAACGCUGGCGGCGUGCUUAACACAUGCAAGUCGAACGGAAAGGCUCCUGCUUGCAGGGGUCCUCGAGUGGCGAACGGGUGAGUAACACGUGGGUGAUCUGCCCUGCACUUCGGGAUAAGCCUGGGAAACUGGGUCUAAUACCGGAUAGGACGAUGGGUUGGAUGCCAUUGUGGAGAGGUUUUCGGUGUGGGUUGAGCUCGCGGCCUAUCAGCUUGUUGGUGGGGUAGGGGCCUACCAAGGCGUCGCGGGGUAGCCGGCCUGAGAGGGGGGACUGCCCCACUAGGACUGAGAUGCGGCCCAGCCUCCUCUGGUACGCAGCGGUGCGGUAUAUUGCACAAUGGGCUCAACCCUGAUGCAGCGCCGCCGUGUCGGGGAUGACGGCCUGCGGGUUGUAUUCUCCUUUCGCUAUGGACGAAGCGCUAGUGACGGUACCUGGAGAAGAAGCUCCGGCUAACUCCGUG